AUGGGCUCUUCUGAGAAAGAAUUUCAAACUAUUUUGUGUAACACUGGCAAUGUAAUUGAAGAGAUGAAAGUUUAGCAGAUUUUUUGGUUUGCAGGACCUCAAAGCAGUAUAUCUAACAUACUAAUUCUGCAGUAUGUAUGAAAGCACAUCAACAGGUGCACUGCUGUAUGAAGCUUGGGAUCUACAAAUUCACUUCAUCGAGACAGAAGAACGAACGGACAGAGGACAUCAAAAAAACAGAAUGUCAGUGACUGCGCAGCUGCUGCAAUCAAGUUCCUUAAAGGGCAUGUAUUAAGCUGUAGGAAUGUGAAGUCAAAAUGUUUAUUUUGCUCAGUUAUUCAUGGUGCUGGUUAUGAAAUUGCAUUGUGCAAAUAAGUGCAUUUUCUCUUUCAGUCCCAAACACUGACAUGAGUGUGAGGUGGUGAAUUCCUGUAUUGCUUGGGGUUUGUGGGAAUGGGAAGGACAGUUUUGACUGAUCUCUGAGCAAUGGAAGCAGAGCAUUUCUUGCUGUCACCAGCGCAGUAGUGGCUCAGUUCUUUUCCAUUUGUCUUAAGAUAAGUAAUUUCUUAGUGCUUCUUUCUGUCUAUACUAUACACAAUUGCAGAGAAAAGUAUGGUGCUGCAAAAAUAUUCAUCACAGUGUAAUAGUUGGGGUAUAGGAAUGUUACAUUCUAAAUACCUUAAUAACUUUAAUUAAGUUUAAUUAUUAUAAAGCAUUCAAGAAUACACUGAUGUCUUACUUUACAGUUUUUUUUUU
rnacentral:lncRNA from 1 species